rnacentral:rRNA from 1 species
UACAGAGGAGCCAAGCGUUGUCCGGAUUGACUGGGCGUAAAGCGCGCGUAGGCGGCUUUGCAAGUCGGGUGUGAAAUCCCCAGGCUUAACCUGGGAACUGCAUUCGAGACUGCAUUGCUAGAGUAUGGGAGAGGGAAGUGGAAUUUCCGGUGUAGCGGUGAAAUGCGUAGAUAUCGGAAGGAACAUCAGUGGCGAAAAGCGACUUCCUGGACCAAUACUGACGCUCAUGUGCGAAAGCGUGGGGAGCAAACAGGG